GGCUGGUCCGAUGGUAGUGGGUUAUCAGAACUUAUUAACAUCAGUGUCACCAAAGUUGGUAUACAACCCCCCACUGCUAAAUCUGACUGGCUUUAA
rnacentral:Y_RNA from 1 species